rnacentral:rRNA from 1 species
UACGAAGGGUGCAAGCGUUAAUCGGAAUUACUGGGCGUAAAGCGUGCGUAGGUGGUUUCUUAAGUCUGCUGUGAAAGCCCUGGGCUCAACCUGGGAAUGGCGGUGGAUACUGAGGAGCUAGAGUGCGGUAGAGGAGGGUGGAAUUCCCGGUGUAGCGGUGAAAUGCGUAGAGAUCGGGAGGAACAUCAGUGGCGAAGGCGGCCCUCUGGACCAGCACUGACGCUGAGGCACGAAAGCGUGGGGAGCAAACAGGG